GGAUGUGAGGGCAAUCUGGCUGUGACAUCUGUCACCCCAUUGAUCUCCAGGAUUGAUUCGGCUGAUCUGGCUGGAUAGGCGGGUGUCCCCUUCCUCCCUCAAGGCUCCAUGUGCAUCCUUCCUGAAGUGGCGCACUUGGUCAAAGAGGACGACCACCCCUGAUAGAGGAGGACCAUUCCUCGGUCAAGGGCAUAUGAGUAGCUGUGUUCCCCUCCUGGAACCUCCAAACAAGAUGUCAGUCACCUGUCCCACCUCCUCCAAUCACUGAAUGCUAUGUCAGCACCCAGUGACAAAGCAGCAGAUGAUUAAUUGGAAAUACCUUGAGAAAAG
rnacentral:sRNA from 1 species